GCGGUAACAGGGGUAGCUUGCUACCCGCUGACGAGCGGCGGACGGGUGAGUAAUGCAUAGGAAUCUGCCCGAUAGUGGGGGAUAACCUGGGGAAACCCAGGCUAAUACCGCAUACGUCCUACGGGAGAAAGGGGGCUCCGGCUCCCGCUAUUGGAUGAGCCUAUGUCGGAUUAGCUAGUUGGUAAGGUAAUGGCUUACCAAGGCAACGAUCCGUAGCUGGUCUGAGAGGAUGAUCAGCCACAUCGGGACUGAGACACGGCCCGAACUCCUACGGGAGGCAGCAGUGGGGAAUAUUGGACAAUGGGGGCAACCCUGAUCCAGCCAUGCCGCGUGUGUGAAGAAGGCCCUCGGGUUGUAAAGCACUUUCAGCGAGGAAGAACGCCUAUCGGUUAAUACCCGGUAGGAAAGACAUCACUCGCAGAAGAAGCACCGGCUAACUCCGUGCCAGCAGCCGCGGUAAUACGGAGGGUGCAAGCGUUAAUCGGAAUUACUGGGCGUAAAGCGCGCGUAGGUGGCUUGAUAAGCCGGUUGUGAAAGCCCCGGGCUCAACCUGGGAACGGCAUCCGGAACUGUCAGGCUAGAGUGCAGGAGAGGAAGGUAGAAUUCCCGGUGUAGCGGUGAAAUGCGUAGAGAUCGGGAGGAAUACCAGUGGCGAAGGCGGCCUUCUGGACUGACACUGACACUGAGGUGCGAAAGCGUGGGUAGCAAACAGGAUUAGAUACCCUGGUAGUCCACGCCGUAAACGAUGUCGACCAGCCGUUGGGUGCCUAGAGCACUUUGUGGCGAAGUUAACGCGAUAA
rnacentral:rRNA from 1 species